rnacentral:rRNA from 1 species
UACGAAGGGUGCAAGCGUUACUCGGAAUUACUGGGCGUAAAGCGUGCGUAGGUGGUUUGUUAAGUCUGAUGUGGAAGCCCUGGGCUCAACCUGGGAACGGCAUUGGAAACUGGCUUACUAGAGUGCGGUAGAGGGGUGUGGAAUUCCCGGUGUAGCAGUGAAAUGCGUAGAUAUCGGGAGGAACAUCUGUGGCGAAGGCGACACCCUGGACCAGCACUGACACUGAGGCACGAAAGCGUGGGGAGCAAACAGG